rnacentral:rRNA from 1 species
CCUACGGGUGGCAGCAGUGGGGAAUAUUGGACAAUGGGGGGAACCCUGAUCCAGCCAUGCCGCGUGUGUGAAGAAGGCCCUCGGGUUGUAAAGCACUUUCAGUGAGGAAGAACGCCUGGUGGUUAAUACCCAUCAGGAAAGACAUCACUCACAGAAGAAGCACCGGCUAACUCCGUGCCAGCAGCCGCGGUAAUACGGAGGGUGCGAGCGUUAAUCGGAAUUACUGGGCGUAAAGCGCGCGUAGGUGGCUUGAUAAGCCGGUUGUGAAAGCCCCGGGCUCAACCUGGGAACGGCAUCCGGAACUGUCAAGCUAGAGUGCAGGAGAGGAAGGUAGAAUUCCCGGUGUAGCGGUGAAAUGCGUAGAGAUCGGGAGGAAUACCAGUGGCGAAGGCGGCCUUCUGGACUGACACUGACACUGAGGUGCGAAAGCGUGGGUAGAAAACAGGAUUAGAUACCCGAGUAGUC